CAGUGCCUCGGACGCGGAGAAGAGGGACCCGGAAGUGGCCGUGCCGAGGGGCUGCCGUUCCUCCAGGCUAAGAACCGCGGUGUCUGUUCCUCUGCCGCCCUCCCGUCCCCCCGUCCCCCCGUCCCCCCGUGCCCCCGUGCCCCCGUGCCCCCGUGCCCCCGUCCUUUCGCAGACUGGAAUGAAUACACCAGGAUACUCUGGACGUGGGGGUUUUAUGAAGUUCCGUUUAAAACUAAAAACCUGACUGCCGAAACCCGGGAUCGAACCAGGGACCUUUAGAUCUUCAGUCUAACGCUCUCCCAACUGAGCUAUUUCGGCGCCUUUUGCAGCGUUCUUUGGCUAAGCUUUUACUGAGCACUCCACGUCCAAUUGUCACACCUGCAUUUUCUAAUGAGCACUUACAAAGUUCCGCGAUUUCUUUGUCCUGCUCCACGGUAACCGCCCUCCCGCCCGCCAUUCCCCAGCCCGGAUCCGACGCGCACCACCUCCGCGCCCGCAGCCCCGGCGAUGGCUCGCCGGGGACUGGAACUGGGGGUCCUGGGGAGCCGAUUCCCUGCUACACGUGCGUCACUGUGCGGGAAAGUUCCAGGGUCCCCGCGACGAGCGGUGUUGGCGCAAAACUGUUGUAUUGAGUGGACAGGGCCUUGGAGGCAAGAAUAGUGUUCCGCCAGCCUCAGGUGCGGAGUUUGCACCCUCCGGUGCACCUGGGUGCGGGAGCGCCCGCCUUGAUUAUCAUCUCUUUGAAUGGAGCCUGCUUGGCAAAAGCUAGGCCAGCUCACGAAGGACGAGUACUCAAAUGUCAGUGCUACUUCUUAACGCAAGUCGCAAAUAUUCCUCAAGUACCCAUUAAGUGUCAAGCUAGGACAUUCUGCAACUCCCAACAUCCUAUUGUUAUGUUCUGUUUUUCAUCCUCUCCAAUUAAAUUGGAUUUAUCUCAUGGCAAGGAUCUCUCACUUUACCGCCCUUUUAACCUGCUCAUUAGAGCUUUGCAUUAAAGUGGAAGCUUCUCAACCAAUUUGGAUGAAUGGAUGGAUGGAUUCAAAGGGGAAAGAAAAAGUAAAUUGGAAGCGUCUGCAGUCUCUGUUGUUACCACCAGUUCUCCUCCCCUUCUGGAAAAGAGUCUCUCUCUGAGUUCCUUGGUUGUGCCAUAUCCAAACACAAAGAACCUGAGAUUUAGAAGUCAGUGGGUAAAGGCGGGAGAGACCCAAGAGAAUUUGGAGUUAGAGAAGUUCAGAGGUUUAGGGAGCUUUAGAGUGGAAGAAGUCUGGGGCAGUCGCCUUAAUAUCGUACAUUUAAAAGGAAGCAGAGAAAGAAGAGUUUUACAGGUUUUCUUACAUGUUCACAAUGUCCCCUUCACAUUCUGAAAAUACUGCAGGAAAGACUUGACUUAUUUUCAAUGACUCUUUGGGUUCCCAGUUGGCAACUCUUUACUGUUAACUGCCUGCCUGGAUUGAAUCAUGCCGUAGCUGAACUUCUUAGAUUUUUACAAUUCAUGUCUUCAGGUUAACAUCUAAUCUAGGAAGUCGCUCCUGAAAAUAUGUAUUUUGGAUGAAUGUCAAUGGAGGGGGUCAAUAAUAGACAUGAGAUCCAGGUCAUAGUGUUGCCCUUUCUUGAUCUGCUAGCCACACAAGCAAACCAGUAGCUUCACAUGUUGUUACCUGGAAAAUCAAACCCUAGGUAACUAAAAAAGUGGCAGGUAACUUUUGAUGGGAUUUGGGGUG
rnacentral:tRNA from 1 species